rnacentral:misc_RNA from 1 species
AAAGAAACAAAAGCUCCUGUCUAAAAGAAGCUAAACAUCAAUCACUUUCUAUCUCUUAUUCUUUGAUCAAUCACAUUGAGAUGUCAAUAGGAUUGGAUUGUGAUCAUAAUGUUCUCUAUGUAGAGCAGAUAAAUUAAGUGAUGGAAAUAUUGUGAUAACCAUUGAGAUGAGAAAAGAGCUCUAUCAAUUCUGCUCAUUGACGAUAAGCAAGGAAGGCAUGAAGGGAGAGAAAUGGCUUAGUCACCCCGUCUGUGAUUCAAAAUCAUAAAAACUAAUGCAAACAACAAAUUACAUGUAAUCUAUUAACGUAAAUAAAAAGACAAACAGUUGAUGCUAAUCUAUUUCAGAAUUCAUCAAUUGGGUGUUCGGUAAAUGGCAUAAGAUAGAUCACAAAGAGAGAAUAGACAGACUGAUGUUGGAAUUUGAGAUAGUACAUAAUUACAGUCAUGGUUGCGUCAACGGUAGAAGAGGAAGAAGAGCAAAAGGUAAAGUAGGGCAGCAUGAGCAGCUUUUAGGCAUUGAGCUUGGCUGCAUUUUAAGCUUUUGUUUUGGGAUUAGUUUUCUUUAGCUCUUAGGUCAUUAGGUUUUCUGGGUUUGAGUGCUUUAACAGACCUAAGAAAAAAAAAAUGAAAACUAUGUGGGUCCAUUGGCAAAAUCACAGUCAUUUUAAGGAGGGAGAGAGAUUCAUGUUUAGAGGAUGAGAGAGAGUGUGUUUUCUUGCAUUGGGAUUUGAUCAAGUUGGCUCCCCGCAGGACGAGAGUGUAAAAUUUUGCUUUUAGAGAAAGGCGCCAUGACUAUUGGAUAACUUUUCUUUAUGUGAAAGGCAUAUACAGAAAAUCCCUUUCAUAGUUGCAUUAUGACAUGAUGAUUAAUGUUGGGCCAUUGGCAGCAGAAAAGAUUUAUCAAUCCAGGCAAAUGAUAAUGCACGUAAUUUUUAUUAUUUUAUUACUAUAACUAGUUUCUUUUCAUUAAGCUAAUGAAGAGAUUUUGAAAAUAAAUUAUCCGAAAUUUCCACAUGAUAGCUUUUAGUGAAAAUACCAAAGUUAAAUUCUAUGAUUCCUAAACCCUAAAAUCUUAAUCUAAUAGGCCAUCUUAGAACACUUAAUUAAUCCACAUUUUUUCUUUAAUUUUUCAACUCUAAUAUUAUUAAAAAUCAUUUUGACUAUAAUUAAUUAUUCUUUAUGUGCUUUUGGUAAUUCACUUUUAAAUAGCAAAUAUUUCUUCCUCUAGCUCAAUCAUUGAUACAAUACUAGCAUUAUGAUGGUACACUUAUUGUGUUUGCCCGUUAUGCUUACUCUGCCAUUUAUGAUACAAAGGCCAAAACAUGUAAAUUCUAUAUUAUUAUUUAUUUUUUAAAAUACAAUAUGCCAUUUUAAUGCAAAGUUAAUCAAUUACAGGUUGAAAAUACUUAAUUAAAACCUAAAAACAGCCAUAAUACAAACAUUGAGAUAUUGUUUCCUUUUUUCGUAUGGUAGUAGUUGUGUUG